rnacentral:lncRNA from 1 species
AUCCUACAACCCUGAUACUAGACCUCCGGACUUUCCUAUCAUGGGUCAUGUCCUUGGAAACCCGCAUUCUAGCUAUGUCAUGCCUAAUCACCUCUCCCGAAUACCUCUUAGGCCUUCCGAACGCCGACAAUUGCCAGCCGCUCACAACUCUUCACCGGGGCAUCAAGACUUCUCCUCCGCACAUGCCCGAACCACCUCAGCCUCGCUUCUCGCAUCUUCUCAUCCACCGGGGCCACCCCCACCUUCUCU